GCGGGAAUGGCGGAAUUGGCAGACGCGCUAGACUUAGGAUCUAGUGUCUCACGAUGUGCAGGUUCAAGUCCUGUUUCCCGCA
rnacentral:tRNA from 1 species